ensembl:snoRNA
AACAUUUAUGUGUGUGUGUGUUCAACUUUUGGACAAAGGCAUGAAGGACAAGUGCAGAAAUAAAUCCUCUUGCAACCAAGGACUCUUUGUUCAGGAUGAGUUUGGUACAUAUAAGUAGGAAUAUG